rnacentral:misc_RNA from 1 species
UGUUUCACAAUACCGAAAGUAGGGUAUUUGUAAACACCACAGAUCAAUCGUCGGUUAGCGACAUGUCUGGACGUGGAAAGACUCCGGAUGUAUCAGACAUUCAUCUUGUACUCACAGUCGCACGUCAACGUCACUGUACCAGGAGGGGUGAAGAUCAGCUGUUCCUGUAGCACGUCAAGGUCAAUCCCAGAGUGUAACACUUCAUCAGACAGUCUCACGUCAACGUCACUGUACCAGGAGGGGUGAAC